rnacentral:ncRNA from 1 species
AUAAAUUUUAGUGUUAAAUUUAAUUUAUUUUAAUAAUAAUUUAUUUAUAUUUAUAGUAAUUAAUAUUAAUUAUUUAAGAAAUUAAGAUUUAGUAAUAUCAAAAUUAAUAACAAAUUUUGUGCCAGCAGUUGCGGUUAAACAAAAAUUAAAUUAAAUUUUUUUGGUGGAUAAUAUGUAAAUUUUUUUUUAAUAAUAAAUUAAAAAUUAAAUUAUUAAGUGAAAUUUUAAUUUAAUAAAAUUUUAUUUAUAAUUUAUGAAUUAGUAAAUUUUAUUUAAAACUAGGAUUAGAUACCCUAUUAUAAAAAUUUAAAUUAAAAAAUACCAAAAUAGUAAAUAAUUAUUUAUUGAAACUUAAAUAAUUUGGCGGUAUUUUAGUUUAUUUAGAGGAAUCUGUUUAAUAAUUGAUAAUCCACGAAUAAAUUUACUUAAUUUAUAACUUUGUAUAUCGUUGUUAUAAAAAUAUUUUUUAAUGAUUUUAAUAUUUAAAAAUUUAAAUAUAAAUUAAAUCAGAUCAAGAUGCAGGUAAUAAUUAAGAAUAUAAUGGAUUACAAUAAAUUUAUUUAAAUGAAUGUUAAUUUGUAAUAAUUAAUUAAAAGUGGAUUUAAAUGUAAUUUUAUUUAUUUUAAUAAAAUGAUUAAAAAUUAAAAUAUGUACAUAUUGCCCGUCGCUUUCAUAUAUUAGUAUGUAUAUAUUUGAUAAUGUGUAUAUUAUGUAUUUAAAUUGGAAUAAGUCGUAACAAAGUAGAGGUACUGGAAAGUGUUUCUAGAAAGAU